UAUUGUGCCAUAGAUCAGCAUGCUUAUUAUCCCUUUUCAGGCAUUUCAAGUCUUCAGUCAAAGGAGGGUACCUGCGAAAGUUACAGAGUUAUUUGCAUACAUGCUGUUGGAGAAAUUCUGAGAAAAAUCUAAAUUAUGCAGAGCUUUCCUCACUUUAGCUUUGAUUAAUUCUGAAAGGCUGUUUUCACUCUAAGAAGAGCCUUGUGUGUUUCCUUUUCCAUUCUCCAGAAGUGGUGUAUAAGAACGCUUCAGCAAUGUCCUUCGAAAUGGAGUUAAGAAUCCAGCACCAAGGACAAAUCUGAUUGAUCUGACCCAGGUGAAAUAGUUGCUUCCAUCUAAAGGGGUUGUCACCAAGCUUAUGGUGAAUUCAAGAACUAGAGGAAGCCAUUAAAGAAACGAAUUGGGCGAGUAUCAAAACAGGAACCAAGAACUCUCUUU